CCAGGCUCGGGGGCAAGAGACACCUGCAGCUAACAGCAGUGUCUGCUCUGCAUUCAGGUCUGCUGCCCACACGAACCUCAUGUAGCCAGAGAAUAAACUGGGGUCACUGUAGUGCUGUUUCUGUGGACAUAACUACCACAGGCCAGCCUUCAAAUUCCCACGGAGAA
ensembl:snoRNA